rnacentral:rRNA from 1 species
GACGAACGCUGGCGGCGUGCUUAACACAUGCAAGUCGAACGGAAAGGCCCUGCUUUUGUGGGGUGCUCGAGUGGCGAACGGGUGAGUAACACGUGAGUAACCUGCCCUUGACUUUGGGAUAACUUCAGGAAACUGGGGCUAAUACCGGAUAGGAGCUCCUGCUGCAUGGUGGGGGUUGGAAAGUUUCGGCGGUUGGGGAUGGACUCGCGGCUUAUCAGCUUGUUGGUGGGGUAGUGGCUUACCAAGGCUUUGACGGGUAGCCGGCCUGAGAGGGUGACCGGCCACCUUGGGACUGAGAUACGGCCCAGACGCCUACGGGAGGCAGCAGUGGGGAAUAUUGCACAAUGGGCGGAAGCCUGAUGCAGCAACGCCGCGUGCGGGAUGACGGCCUUCGGGUUGUAAACCGCUUUCGCCUGUGACGAAGCGUGAGUGACGGUAAUGGGUAAAGAAGCACCGGCUAACUACGUG